rnacentral:rRNA from 1 species
UUUUGAUCAGCCCACUCUAGCCCUCAAAAUCAGCCCCAAUAAAGUUAACUACACUAAACCAAAACAUUUUUAUGCCCAAGUAUCGGUGAGAGAAAAGACAGCAGGCGCGAUAGAGACAGUACCGCAAGGGAAAGAUGAAAUAAAAGUUUAACACAAAAGUACAACACAGCAAAGAUUAACCCUUUUACCUUUUGCAUUAUGGUUUAGCCAAACAUAGUCGUGGCAAGGAGCACUAAAGUCACUUACACCCGAAUCUGGGCGAGCUACUAGCCAGCAGAAGUAAUACAGCACCAACCCAUCUCUGUAGCAAAAGAGCGGGAAGACUGCCUAGUAGAAGUGAAAAGCCUAACGAGCCCAGUGAUAGCUGGUUGCUUGGGAAUAGAAUAUAAGUUCUACUGAAAACCUUCUGGUUCACCACGAUAAAGGACAAAGAAAGCUUUCAAGCUAUUUAAUGGGGGUACAGCCCCAUUAACACAGGACUCAACCUCUACCUAAGGGUAAAACUAAUUCGCACUUUAAAUGUAGGCUUUAAAGCAGCCAGCACAACGAAAGCGUCAAAGCUCGCACCAAAAAAAUACCUACAACAAAAUUAAACCCUACAGCACAACCAAGCCUUUCUAAAACAUUAGAAGUGAUUAUGCUAAAAUUAGUAAUAAGAAACUUGAUCUUCUCCUGAGCGCCAGCCUACACUACUCAUGACAUACUAUUGGUAAUUAACACCCUGCCCAUCUACCACAAACAUAAGGGCCACACACUGUUAACCCAACACAGGAGCGCAACAGGAAAGGCUAAACCCUGCAAAAGGAACUCGGCAAACAAAGAUUCCGACUGUUUACCAAAAACACAGCCCCCAGCCAACCAAGUAUUGGGGGUGAUGCCUGCCCAAUGACUUUAAGUUAAAUGGCCGCGGUAUCUACAACCGUGCGAAGGUAGCGUAAUCAUUUGUUCUUUAAAUAAGGACCAGUAUGAAAGGCUAAACGAGAAUCUAUCUGUCUCUUGCAGAAGGCCAGUGAAAUUGAUCUCCCUGUGCAAAAGCAGGGAUGUCAACAUUAGACGAGAAGACCCUGUGAAACUUUAAACCACUAAAUCACAAAAAUUGUAAAAUAUCACCCCAAGCGGGCUGACUACAAUUAGCACACUGAUUUAGCGUUUUCGGUUGGGGCGACCCCAAAAUAAAAAAAACUUUCCAGGAAAACAGUAACAUGACAACUACUGACCAAGACCAACACCACAAAGUGCUUAAAUGUAAUCAGAUCCGGCACACGCCGAUUCAUGAACUAAGCUACUCCAGGGAUAACAGCGCAAUCCCCUUCAAGAGCCCAUAUCGACAGGGGGGUUUACGACCUCGAUGUUGGAUCAGGACAUCCUAAUGGUGUAACCGCUAUUAACGGUUCGUUUGUUCAACGAUUAAAGUCCUACGUGAUCUGAGUUCAGACCGGAGCAAUCCAGGUCGGUUUCUAUCUAUGAAUGCGAACCUUUCUAGUACGAAAGGACCGAAAGAGCAAGGCCCAUGCCACUAAAGUAAGCCUUACCUAAAGCUUAAUGAAAACAACUAAAUUAACAACCAGGACAAUCACACCCCGCCUCAAUACAAGAGCAA